AGUAGUCAAGAUAAGAUGACUUUUAUCUUUCCUCCGGAUGUGAGCUUAUUGCCUACUGACCUUACUCAAAAAGAGUCGAUGGGAGGGCUUUGGUACGACAAAGCGUAUAAUAGUAAAUAUGAAUUGUUUUAUGGGCAGAGUUGGUGUUUUCUCCAUGUUAGUCAUUCAGAAGAAAAAGUUCUUCCAUUCCAUUUGUGUCACUUCCUCAAAGUUUUCCUUUUUCCUAAUUCUUUCUUUCUGAUUUUAUUAUUCUCAGAGCUAUCCUCUCAUCUCAACCCCAGGAAGUAAAAUAGUAAAUCUUCCUAUCAUACUGCUCUUUCUCUCAACCCUUAUGGGUUUCGUUUCAAAAGUUCUCUGUUUUGGUUGAAGUUUGUCUAUGGAGUCUACUGUAUUUUUGAAUUCUAGAAAAAAAAAAUUUCCUUCACAUGUUUCUUGAUUAUAGGGAUUUGGUGGGUAUCUGUUAAGUUUUCUUUGCUACUCUCUUACUUUGUUCUGUAGAUGCAUGUGGGUUUGCUAGGUUUCGAAAUUGCCAAAAGGCCUAUUUUUGGUCAGAAAAUUAAUUCGCUCAUCAAAUUCUUUUUUGAUCUACUAAAAAUCGACGUUUUGUUUUUUUCCAUUUCUAAUUGUAGUUUCUGUUGUUCCUAAAUUGUACGCAUGUGAAUUUUCUCAUAAAAUUGCUAAUGGUUGCCAGUAGUUUAUUGUAUUCUCUCUAUAAAUAGUAGCUAAUGCUUUAUGUAUUACUGUGAAGCAGAGGGUGAGAGAGAUGAGAUCAAAUCUUCGUCGUCUCAGGUGUUGGUCCUUUUAAUGUCCAUUUGUUGCCGUUAUCUUUUUCUUAGUGAGUAUUAUUUGGUAAAAUAUUGGCUUCUUUGUCUCUGGUUUCUCCUAUGAAUAGUUUGUCCAUCAUAUUUUGUUCUGUAUUUCGUGUUAAGAUGUGGUUAAUUUUCUUUAAUUUUUGGCGGGUCAUAAGAAGUUAAGUCAGCUCUAUUCAUUUGAAUCUACAGGCAAGAAAAAAAUAAAUUAUUCAAUGAAUACACAUAAAGAGUGAAAUUGGACAAAAGAAAAUUAAAAAUAAGAUGAUCUACAGUUCUUAUGUGUAAAAGGCAUUUGUGUUAAAUCUAUACAGUCCUUACAUACAUACAUACAUACUACUCCCCGUUCCAGUUUAGGUGAAUCUAUUUCCUUUUUGGUCAGCUCAAAAAAGAAUGACCCCUUUCUAAAUUUGAAAAUAAUUUUGCUUAAACUUUCAAUUCUACCCUUAAUGAGAAGCUUUUAUAACCAGACAAAUGCUCUAGGCCCCUUUCUGACUUGUUUAGGACCACAAAUUUUAAAAGUAUUCGUUUUUUCUUAAACUCCGUGUCAAGUCAAACAAGUUCACAUAAAUUGAAACGGAGGGAGUAAAGAAAAAUGAGACUAUUUUCUAGAAAUUGGAAGAAUGGUACAUGAAGGAAGAAAUUAACACAUAAAUGCAAUGUUUUCCUUCUCAUAUGUUUGCUACUGGUUCAUUCUUGUCUUUGUUUAUUUUUAUCUAUUUGUUACUAUGUUUAUCUAUUGAUAGAUUUUUAAUUCAUCUUUCUUGCCUCUUUCUGAGUAUUAUUCUAAAGGUGUCAACCAAGUGACCACCCAAGCUACUUGGAUCAUCAAUUAGAGUUUGAAUGAAUGCCACCCUAUGCUCCUGCUCUAUGAUCUCAAGCUAAACCAAGUAAGCAACUGAGUAUUGCUUCGUCUAGCUUUUCUUUCCCCCUUGUGUUUUACAUCUUCUUGCACUUGCACGUAUUUUUCCCGACAUCACAUGAAUAAAUAUUGAAGGUGUAACAAAUUACUUUGGCUACCUAAACAACAACAACCCAGUAAAAUCCAACCAAGUGGAGCCUGAGGAAAAUUAUCACCGGUGAAAAUGGACAGAAGUAAUAGAAGCUCACUAUCUACAUGUUUAUCCCUGUCCACAUAUUCAUUAUUUUCGCAUCCUGGUAGCAAUAAGGCAACCUUGGUUUAAAUAAUAUUUAGGUAGCCAAAGUAUUGCUACUAGGAUGCGAAAAUAAUGAAUAUGUGUAAAUAGCGAGCUUCUAUUACUUCUUUCCAUUUUCACCGGUGAUAAUUAUGUGAAAAUCUAGGUUCCAUGUGGAAAUUACGCUUCUUCUCUGUAUAAUUUGUAAGCAAAUUUUGGUUCUUUUUUCAUUUGUCACUCUCUUUCUCUCUCUCUUUUUUCUUCCGCUCAUCUCUGCUGCCCUAUUUCUCUCUCCGGUGGGUUCUUCUACCUCCCUUUCCAUUUUGUUUAGUUUGUUUUUUCAAUUCUGAUUUCUUUAUAUUCUGUCUUUUGAUUUUUGUGUUGUCUAAUUUUGUUUUCCUUUUGGGUAUAAAUUGUGACUAUUAGUUUCCUAAGACAAGUACAGAGAAAUUGAUUUUGUGUCCGUUCCUUUCAUCUUGCAAUAUUUGAUGUGCUCUCGGCAUUUUUUUCGUAAUACAUGCAAUGAUUUCUUAUUAUAUUAAAGCUUCUAGUAAUUUUUUUUUUUUUUUUUACAGUUAUUGGUGUAGAUCUCAUUACUCCUCUAUCUGGUUGUGAUUUGGUGAAACUAAAUAAAAAUUGAAUGAAUAGUAAAAAAAAGAAUGCUAAUAUAGUUUGAGAGGAUAAGGUUUUUGGUUGCAAAACCUGUAUAAGCUGAAGAGUAAAGUUGAAAUCUUGUUAUAUUAAAGAGAGCUUUUGCUCUUAGAUUUAGCUGGUAGUUAGAGAGUUGCGAAGACAUGGACUGAAGGUAGCUUUAAACAGUGAUACUUCACUUCAUUUCAAUGGACAUGUUACCUACCUUAGCAAAUAAAAAUAACACAAUCCAUAUAGGUAAUCACUUAUCUUUGCAGUACUAGCGGUCUGCCCAUCCUAGCAAUAUUCCUUGCACACUUGAUCCAAGAACAUGAAAACUCCUAAAUCAAUCUUUGCUAGGUAAAAUGUAAUAAUGACACUACCAUAUUGGUUUCACUUUAGGAGCGGCAAGAUUUAUAAGCAGCUAUAUGUAUUGAAGUACAGUAGAAUAUACAUUUUUAUUGUUCUCUUUUUUCAUUCGCGACCGUUAUUUUUGGACAUGAGAUGAUUCAUAUACUACUAUUAUACAUAGAUAGAGAAUGUGAGGAGAGCUAAUAGAUUAGGCUUAGUGAAGAAUAUUUUGAAUGUAUACGUGGAGAUGGGUGAAAACUCCCUGAAAUAUUACGUGAUAGACUUUGAAGAAUCAAUGCUGAAGGUAUAUCCUACUCUAAGAAAGCCUCAGAUUGGACUGUAAGAAAAUGUUACGAGGAUUAGAUGCUGAAGGUGCUAUUUAUUUAAGCUUGCUUUGCAUGUUGCAUAAACUUUAUAGUUCCUCACCAGUUAUUGAUUACACUCUCUUGAUGAAAUUCAGGUCGAGGAAUGCUUAUAGCAUGAAGAAGUUAGGACUCAAUCUGUUUCACAAUGCACUGCAAUUACUGCACUUCACAAAGUUGCAAAAUCUCAUGUUCUAACUGACCAGGACUUCUCUGCAGUAUGAAGCAUUGAACGCAAAACUGCAAUACCAGAGAUAGAGAGGUAAUUUUUCUUCUAGGGUGGGGCUGGUGGUAUUAUUCUGUAUUGUUCGUAACUUAAAAAGGCUGUUGAAAAAUUCAUGUUUAGUAAAUGAUGUAAAAUUAUGACAUACAAUUGCAUGAUCUCUAUUCUUAAGUGGGUUGUGGAAUAAUGUUGCUAUGUUUCUUAUCUAUUCUUUGUGAAUUAUCCUUCUGGUUAAUGGAAUUGCUGGCCCAGCUACUUUUCUGAUGCAAUAUUGCAGUUAAGUGAUGAUCCCUGUAUUCAUCCAAGUAUAUUCUGGUCUUUCUGUUUCUUUAUUUUCUCUUAUUGCUGUAGCUAUUUUAUGCACAUCUAAGCCAAAAAUGCUUCUCCGGUUCACUGUUAAUGUUGCAUCUAUAGGUCUGCUAUGUAGUAUUGAGUUCAUGCUCUUUUGUCGGGCAUAUGCCCGUACAUAGCACGGGCACUAACCAUCUAGUAUUAAAAUAGGUGAAGGUGACUCUAAUGAUGUAUAUUUAAGUUAAGCUCAGGAAAAUAACAUCACCUAGAAAGGAACACAAGAAUGUAUGCCAACUGCCUUUUCGAAAAGUAAACAGAAAAAAGAAAAGAAAUGAGUGACUUAUAAUAUAAAAGAUUAUUUUGACUUGUAAAUCUUUACUAACUUGUUUGGUCAAGUUCAUAAAAGGUAAAAAAUGCUUUUAUUUUUAUUUUUAAACAAAGCAGUUUGUCUUUUACUUUUUUCUCUUUUCAGUUUGGCGUUUACAUUUUUCUCUUUUUCUUUGUUAUAAAGAAGAAGAACAUGAAAUUCGAAAAUUAUAUGCCAAACCUAAAUGAAGUUCAUUUUUUCACUUCAAAAAAAUACCGCACCGGAAAAAGCACUUCAAGGAUAUUAGGGUUAGAUAGCUUUUUUUCUCUGGUAGUCUAAAAUCUUUCCAAUACGACGAUUCAAUGACCUUUGAUACGUUACACUUAGGGGUCGUUUGGUUCGCGGACAGAAUUAUUCCAGGAUUAUAAUCCUGGUAUUAAUAAUCCCUUGGGUUACUUAGUGUUAUUACUUUGUUUCGUUCAUUGGAUUAAAAAUGGGAUAUACCGUAUAUAAUCCAAAACAUGUGUUUGGUUUAAAGUUGGAUAAACUUGGAUAAAAUUCUAUUUCCUAUUUUAACCUUAGAUAUUUCAUGGCUUAUACAAACGAUAUUUUUCUUAACAGAAAACUCCACCCAACAAUAUUUUCUUAUUAUACUAAGUUCAAAUACUCAAAGACAUUACUUCAUUCAUCCAAGAUGCAAGAAAAUUAUAUUGUUGCUGCACUGUUGCAAAAGAAGUACACAAACUGAAGCUAAAAUAGUGUAGAAAUAUACAGAAAAAUAUAGAAACUAUGCAAAAGAGUGCAGAAUCAAUGCAGAAAAAUGCAAAAACUAUGCAGAAAACUGCAGAAACUAUGCAAAAAGAGUGCAGAAAAAUGCAGAAAUAAUGUAAAAACAUAGCAGAAAAAUACAGGAAUCAUGCAGAAACUGUGCACCAAGAAUGCAGAAAGUGCAGGAACUAUGCAAAAAUUACUCAAAUACAGUGCAAAAAAAUACAAGAAUUGUGCAAAAACUCCAGCAAAAAGAGUGCAGAAGCUUAUGCAGAAACUGAAACUAAAAUCUGCUAAACUGAAACUUAAAAACUACAAACUGAAAUUAAAAUAUGCAGAAAUCAAAACUAAAAUAAGUGCAGAAACUAAAGCUAAAAUAAGUGCAGAUACUACAAUAAGAAAAAGUGUAGAAACUGCAGUCAAAAUCUGCAGAAAUUGAAACUAAAAAAGUGCAGCGGCAAACAUACACAUUGCUCUGGAAUACCAAUAGUGCCAUAAAAUCACCGCGAAAUUGUUCAAGCAUGUCGCAAAUAUAAAAACAAUAUCACACGAUCAUAAAAAGCUAUAAAUAGACAAAAGGUAUGAUCUCCAUACCAAUUAGCAUUCAUGCAUUACAUUUACAUAUGCAUCCUCAUGCUCAUACUAGUCACAUAUCAAGUUUAUGGAGCUGAGGCAUCAAAAAUAUAAUACAUCUAUUAAACAUUUUGAAGGUUGUCAAUUUAGCAAAAACCAUCAAACCCAUGCCCAACCUUUACAAUUAUAUCUUAUAUACUUGGAAAUAUAUCAUUGAUAAUCAUCCAGACCAUAUUCUGACGUUCAAGUUCACCCAUCCGUAAGAAUAUAUCCAUUCUUCUAACCUCAGAAGUAAGCCCCAUUGCUGCUUUGAUUUGUUGUUCUGAAGUGUACAACUCAAAAGCAGGGGAUGAGAGGAUAUCUAGAACUUUUCCACGAAUUUCAGACUCAUCACGCCCCCCAAACCUUUCAACUAAAGCACCCAUCCUUUUGUCAUGGUUUUCCAUAAAUUGCUUCAUAACAUCGACUAAACUCUUUAAAAUUGUCUCGUCAUCAUUGUCUAUAGAUCUUUUUCUUUUUCUGCUUUUCUCCUUUAUCAUUGAUAUUAGAAGAGGAGCUUCUAGUAUUUUUAGCUUGCUGUUGACUCCAUGAUCUGCACUAUAAGAAGCUUCACUAGGUUCAUGAGUAUUUUCUGCUUCUCCAGGGGCUACAUCAGGUUCGUGUCCAACAUCUUCUUCUUCUUCAUCAUCAACAUCAAUAGGAAAUCCCAAACUCAUGUCAUUAGAAACUCCCCGACCUUCACUCUGAGCAAUUUCCUCAACAGCAUCUUGCGGCCCUUUUGCAAACUCUCCUGUUGCUCUAUCUUUUCAAAUAUUUCCUCCCAAUCCUCAAAAAAUGGCCAUGUCUUACUUUGCAUUCCUUUGGCAUUUGGAUCAAUCUACAAAUAAAUUAGUGACAAAAGAACAUAAUUAAUAUAUUAAAAAUUAAUUCUAAGGAACUAACAUAUUCGAUUACUUGAAAAUAAAACUUUCAUUACCUUAACAAACUCAUCCCAUUUUGUUAGAUCAUCAACUAUAAUUCUUCCUUCACCAUAUUUAAAGCCCAAUCCACUUAGACUUUUUAAUGAAACUAUAGUACUAUAGUCCCUCUUCCAUGCUUUCAAUUUAGAAUUAAUAUGUGGUGCAGAUUUUAAUCCACAGUUAGGAAGAACUUUCUGUAAAUGAUGCUAUAAUUCCAUCAAGUAUCCAUUCUUAAAGGUUCUAUUAUCGGCUUUCCAACCUUAAAUCUUUUAAACCAACAACAAGAGUGCGUUCUUGUUCUAGUGUCCAUGUCCUUCGACACUGAGGUGUUGAUCUCCUUGACCUUUUCGACGCUUGAUUAGAAGGUGCUGCGUGAUUACUCAUUUAUGAUCUUGUGGGAAAGCUGAUCAAGUAAAGAAAUAGAAAGGAAUGAACUUUAUUUUUCACAAUCCAUUUCGGAAGCUAGCAAAACAGAGAAAAUAAAAUUUUAUAAUGUUAAACUCCAGCAUAUAAAUCUCAUAAAAGCACACAAUGAAGAUGCAAUCAACUCCUUUUUGUACUGGUAACUACCACAUUUCUUUUUUGUAUUCUUACAUUCACAAAUUCAAUCCACUCCAACUUCAACUUUAAUCUAGAAAGACUUGCAGGAGACAAGAUAUCUCAAAGUAGAUUGAUUCAUCUUAGGUUACAAAUGAGAGAAGUACUAAUAAAAAAGCUUACAUUUUCGGACAACAAAACUAAACUUAUCUUAUGAUUAAUAAGUAAAUGCAAAAGAUGAACACUUCUGAUUCAACAUAGCAAGUUUUUUUUUUUUUUUUUAACUCAGUGUUAAAUUAAGAGUAGAUAUCUUUCGGAGAAGCUGAGCAACUGAGCCUUGUUUUUACAUACUGAUUUGUUUUUAAAUCUGGAAGGAAUUAAAAUGCUAAUCUACUGCGAUUUUUUCAGCUGAAAUCACUUGUUUUAUUCACUUAUAUUACUGCAACAUAGGACAAGAGUGGGUUGCUCUAGUGGUGAGCACCCUCCACUUCCAACCAAGAGGUUGUGAGUUCAAGUCACCCCAAGAGCAAGGUGGGGAGUUCUUGUAGGGAGGGAGCCGAGGGUCUAUCGAAAACAACCUCUCUGCCCUAGGGUAGGGGUAAGGUCUGCGUACAAACUACCCUCCCCAGACCUCACUAGUGGGAUUAUACUGGGUUGUUGUUGUUGUACUGCAACAUAGGGCGACUUGGGCGCAAUGAGGUUGAGAAUGGUAAAAAUCAUUAAUAUUUCACUAAAACUACAUUUACUAUGUAAAAGAAUGCUGAAAAUUUCUGGGUUUCAGCAAACAAAACAAGUACAAACCAACAUCAAAAUCCCAACAGUUGUUACUCAACAAACAGAAAAUAGAUACCUUGGACAAAGAGAAGUAACAAAAAAGAGAAGAAAAAAAGUUUUUUUUUUUUUAGAGAAAGACUUUCGUGUAAUAAUAGAGAAUGAGGUUGAGAAGGGGAAGUAACAAGAGAAGGGAAGAGAAGAAAUAAAAACUUACUGAGAAGGAGAAGUAGAUUUUCUCUCGUGAUAUCAGGGAGCCAUGGUUGAGAUGUGAAGCUCGGUUGUAUCGUCGGAGAGAAAAGGGUUUGUGGAGAACUGACAAAACAAACGUACUGAAGCAGUGAAAAGGGCUUUUGGAGGGGUAAUCCGGCCUUCACGAAAUCUUUAUCCAAGGGAUUAUAAUACCGGUAUUGUUAUUCCACCUCCAAUGUGGGAUAAGUUUAUACCAAUAUUUUGUAUAAAAUUAUACCAGUAUUAUUUAAUACCAGUUACAAAACAUGGAAUAAAUUUAAUCUCAAUUUUUAUACUGGGAUAUCCCACUUACCCGUAACCAAACGACCCCUUAGUUGCAUGUAAUAUUUACUUUCGUUUUUUACUUGUACAGUUGAACUGACUAGUGACUUUAAAUUUAAACCUUGAGACCGAGCUCUGCCUCUCACCUUUUGGUUCUUGGCAAGGAAAGACUAAAAAGAAAAAAAGGAAGCUUUCGGCGAACACGUUGAUAAGAAACAGUUUGUGUUUGGGUAAUUAGUUUGAAAAAACACUUUCGAGCCGCAGUUAGUAUUUGGUCAAGUUUUAAGAAAGUGCAUGCAAGUGUGUUUUUUUAAAAAGUGUUUUUCAAAAAAAUAUUUUUGGGAAGAAACUAUUUUUUUUCUGCUUUUGUUUUUACUUAAAAGUACUUUAUUAUUUUCUAAAAGCUUGGUCAAACAUGUUAACUCUAGGAAAAAGCACUUUUGGCCCUCAAAAAAAAACUUUUGGCCAAAAAGAAACACGGCCAAACAGGCUAUAAUACUUACUCUGUCUCAAUUUAUGUGGCACAAUUUGACUUGGCAUCGAAUUUAAGAAAGAGAAGAAGACUUUUAAAACUUGCUGUCUAAAAUAAAUCAUAGAUAUUUGUGUGACUAUAAAUGAUCUCAUUAGUACAAUGAGAAAUUUAAAGUUACAUUAUUUCUAAAUAUAGAAAGGUAAUGUUCAUUUUGGAAAAGACUUAAAAAGAAAAAAUUGCAACAUAAAUUUGGAUAGAGGGAUCAGCUUAUCUAAUCUUGCAAAACUGCAGUUUCGCAAAAUUGGUGGGUUCCUGAGAGAAAUAUCAGUGCAGAAUAACUGUUUAAUUGGUUAUCAAGAAGCUUGAAAAACUGCUCCAGGUAUGCUCUAUCUUAAUUAUCUGUCCCUUAGUUUUAAAUUACACUAGCUCUUUCAUGGGAAGUUGCUCUUUUCUUUCAAUCAUGAACUCUUACCAAAAGUAAGAAAAAAUAAGUAUAAGAGUAAACGGUAAGAAUUAUACUUUAACUUCUAGCUCAAGAUCAACGUUCUCUUUUUGCAAUAUAUGUACUCUAUUAGUCUAUUGCAUAAAGAUGGUAAUGUGCAGUACAAGAGGAGAAAACGCCACAAUUGCUAAUGUAAAAAGGGAAAACACACAAAUUUUAGGAACUUCCUAGUUCAAGAUCAAUCAGUUGGCCUAAAGUAAUAAAAGGAAAACAAUUAUUCAAAAGUGGCUUUUCUUUGGCUAAAGACGUAGAAACUUGUUGCAUGGUUGGCCUAAGUUGUGGACUUGGAUAAAGACAUGUCAAUGCUAUCUUUGUGAUGUUGAUCAAUUCUUCAGCCACUCGAAACGGAGGUAAUGGCCGUUGAUCAAUGAAAUCCUUUAAUAAUAUGUCAAGGCCGGUUUUUGAUGAUAUAGCAUGAACAAUAUGAUCAGCUGGAUGCCGACCUAAAAUCACUUCCAAUGAUAGCACUCCAAAACUGUAGGUAUCACAACUUUCAUCUACCUCCAUAGUGUAAGCAAGCUCUGUAUAUACAUGUGAAUCAAGAAGAAAAGGAAUAUUCAGAUGCACAAUUUCCAUAACUAAGAGAACCAGCAGAAUACAAGAGAAUGAAAAUGAUAUAAGACUCAAAAGCAACUGGUUUACUGUUGUAAAUGAUUUAAAAUUGUUCCUCUCCAAGGGGAGCCUUGGUUCAAGCCGUGGAAUCAGCCACAGAUGCUUGCGUCAGGGUAGGCUGCCUACAUCACACCCCUUUGGGGUACGGCCCUUCCCUGGAUCCUGCGUGAACACGUGAUGCUUUGUGCACCGGGCUGCCCUUGCCCGCUCAAGGCUCAAACAAAUUUGACAUGCAACCAUGUGUAUCAAAGGAUUGAAUGAAAGACAUUAAGAACAUUAUCUCAAGGAGAAUGUUUUUUGUCAUAUACUUUUUGACAUGCACUACACAUAGAAAAUCCUGCUACUUUUUUAGUAAUUGAGAUUCUUGAAAUUCAUGAAAAUAAUUUACACAUAGGAGUUAGUCUAAACUUAAAUAGAGCAUACCUGGAGCAACAUAUCCAAAAGUUCCAGCAAAUGAAGUCCAAUUAGAGGAGUUAGGCCUUAGGAGUUUUGCAGUACCAAAAUCAGAAAGAUGGGGCCUGUCUUCACAAUCUAACAAAACAUUCUUACUUGAUAUAUCCCUGUGAAGAAUAGGAGGUGAACACUCAUGAUGCAUAUAAGAUAAUGCAUUUGCUACUCCUUUGACAAUGUCCACUCUCUUAAUCCAAUCUAACUCUGCCGCUUUAACAUCAUUUCUUAGUCUCUCUAAUAAGCUUCCUCCUUCCAAGAAUUCGUAAACCAAGAAAGAAUGUCUUGCAUGUGAACAAAAUCCAUAAAGCUUUACAAUAUUACGAUGACGGAUUAACAACAAUGUUUUUGUUUCAUUUUUAAAGCUUUUCAAGCUGUCCAACUCACCAUCAUCUAAAGGAUGAAAUUUUUUCACCGCGACCACUUGCUCGCUUGGUAACUCGACCCUGAAGACACUUCCAUGUCCUCCCUUUCCUAUGCAAUAUUUGCUGUUAAAUCCCUCUGUUGCGCUAAUGAUGUUCUCAUAUGUCAUCUUCCCGUCGAAGCUCCAAAUGGAAAAAAGAUCCUUGGUUUGUUCUCUUUGCUCAAUUUGAUUUUUCCUUUUCCAAGAUGUGGUAUAAAGAAGACAAAUGAUCACAACCAUCAAAAGAAGAACACCACCCAAACUAAAAAGAAUCGUCGAGAUUUUUAUUCUUUUCUUGGUGAUUAAAUAUGAAGAGCAAGGUUUCAAACCAAUGAGAUGGCCACACAAGCCUUUAUUGUCUCUUAGUUCUUCAAGCGACGCAUUCUGAAAAGCUAAGAUGUUAGGAACAGGACCGGCCAAUUGAUUAUUAGAUAUAUCAACAAACCUCAAACUAAGACACUGAUCCAAACUUGAUGGGAUCGAACCAAACAGCUUAUUAUGCGAAAGAUUCAUUAGCUCCAAGCUUUGUAAUCGUCCCAGUUUCCAUGGCAUCUCACCAGUAAGCAUGUUAUGACUAAGAUCCAUAUUUUGUAAGAACCGCAAGUUCCCUAAGUGUGAAGGAAUACUUGCUUCCAACAUGUUUUUGCUUAAGUUCAAGCUCAAUAGCUGCACAUUGUUUCCAAUCUCUUGUGGAAUUAUGCCACUGAGAUGAUUUGCUGCUAAGUUAAGUUUUGCAAGGGAAGAAAGCUUCCCAAGUUCUGAUGGAAUACCAUCUGAAAGUUCGUUACUAGACAAAUCAAGCUCAAAAAGUAGCUUUAGGCUAUCCAAGCUUCUAGGGACCUUGCCAGUGAAAUUGUUAGAGGAGAGAUCAAGCACCUGUAAAGAAGAUGCAUUUCCAAUCUCAAAUGGAAUAGAUCCAGAUAAAUUGUUGUUGGACAUCUUCAAACAGGUAACUUUACCACAAAGUCCCCAUUGUGAUGAUAGCUCUCCAUGCAAUUCAUUGUGACUUAAAUCAAUGUAGUCUAGAUUCGGAUAUACACCGAAAGCUUCUGAUAUUUUUCCUGAUAGUUUAUUGUUUUCAAGUCUGACCCUGGAUAACUUGGAGCAGUUUUUCAAGCUUCUCGGAAUGCUACCGAUGAAACGAUUAUUCUGCACUGAUACUUCUGUCAGGAAUCCACCAAGACAAACAUUAUGAGGCAAAUGACCAGAGAGAUGGUUAUCGGCUAUGUGAAACAUCUCCCAGUUGGUAAUGUUUUCCAACUCUAGUGGAAGGGGUCCAUUGAGUUUAUUAAUGAACAAUCUCAUAUCAACAAG
rnacentral:lncRNA from 1 species